rnacentral:rRNA from 1 species
AAUAGAUACCCCGAGGUAGUCCACGCCGUAAACGAUGAGUGCUAAGUGUUAGAGGGUUUCCGCCCUUUAGGUGCUGCAGCUAACGCAUUAAGCACUCCGCCUGGGGGAGUACGGUCGCAAGACUGAAACUCAAAGGAAUUGACGGGGGCCCGCACAAGCGGUGGAGCAUGUGGUUUAAUUCGAAGCAACGCGAAGAACCUUACCAGGUCUUGACAUCCCACUGACCGGUAUAGAGAUAUACCUUUCCCUUCGGGGACAGUGGUGACAGGUGGUGCAUGGUUGUCGUCAGCUCGUGUCGUGAGAUGUUGGGUUAAGUCCCGCAACGAGCGCAACCCUUGAUCUUAGUUGCCAGCAUUUAGUUGGGCACUCUAAGGUGACUGCCGGUGACAAACCGGAGGAAGGUGGGGAUGACGUCAAAUCAUCAUGCCCCUUAUGACCUGGGCUACACACGUGCUACAAUGGAUGGUACAAGGGCUGCAAGACUGCGAAGUCAAGCCAAUCCCAUAAACCAUUCUCAGUUCGGAUUGC